rnacentral:rRNA from 1 species
GACGAACGCUGGCGGCGUGCUUAACACAUGCAAGUCGAACGGUAAGGCCCUUCGGGGUACACGAGUGGCGAACGGGUGAGUAACACGUGGGUGAUCUGCCCUGCACUUCGGGAUAAGCCUGGGAAACUGGGUCUAAUACCGGAUAGGACUCCGGACUGCAUGGUCUGGGGUGGAAAGCUUUUGCGGUGUGGGAUGGGCCCGCGGCCUAUCAGCUUGUUGGUGGGGUGAUGGCCUACCAAGGCGACGACGGGUAGCCGGCCUGAGAGGGUGACCGGCCACACUGGGACUGAGAUACGGCCCAGACGCCGACGGGAGGCAGGAGUGGGGAAUAUUGCACAAUGGGCGCAAGCCUGAUGCAGCGACGCCGCGUGAGGGAUGACGGCCUUCGGGUCGUAAACCUCUUUCAGCACAGACGAAGCGCAAGUGACGGUAUGUGCAGAAGAAGGACCGGCCAACUACGUGCCAGCCGCCGCAGUAA